CAGGUCACAUAACAUGGUUAAGUAAAUCCAACAUUUCAUUUUUGGAGUGCAUGAAAACGUUGGUAUUUUUCUCUUCUUUCGCUCACCGUGUGUCUCGCUGCUACCGGACUACCGGGUUCUGCUCGACGUAUUUCCUACAUAAAACACUGCAAGCUCAUAAAACCUCACGCGUCCGACACGUCAGCUCACCGUUCAAGGAUUUGUUAAGCAGCGACGGAUGAUCUGCUCUCCCAGGGCUUGCUUCCCCCUCUGGCUGCACAUGAAAGCCUGCUGAUUUCCAUCAAAGCCAAACUCACCUUUAUGGUCACGGGUUCACCGCCAUCGAGACGUCACCCCUCUCUCGUACGGCAGGUGGAGGAUUCACACUGGCACACACCGUUUAUAUUUCCUCUCUCCAGCUUUCAUCUGUUCGCCACCUGAUGAUGCCGACUGAAAACAUUCGGUGUUUUCUGCAUCGUUUUUCUCAGGGAAACCUGGACAAAGAUGGCAACCUGAGCAAACACACGUGAUAGAUAUUUUUAAACUUUUUGACCCUAUUGCAUUAAUCAGUUGUAUUAAAUGUUUUUCUUGCUGCCAUAAUUUUCAUCUCUGCAGCUUUGAGCUGCACUAACUGAUAAGAAGCAAGCCUGUGAUUGGUCAAGAUGUUUUUCUCUGUGCUCUGUUUGUAAUAAAUUGUUCAGCUUU